AUCGAACGCUGGCGGCAGGCCUAACACAUGCAAGUCGAGCGAGCGGCGGACGGGUGAGUAAUGUAUGGGGACUGCCCGAUCGAGGGGGAUAACGAGUGGAAACGGUGGAUAAUACCGCAUACUACGGGAUAACCCAUAUGGGAUUAGCUAGUAGGUGGGGUAAAGGCUCACCUAGGCGACGAUCUCUAGCUGGUCUGAGAGGAUGAUCGGCCACACUGGGACUGAGACACGGCCCAGACUCCUACGGAGGCAGCAGUGGGGAAUAUUGCACAAUGGGCGCAAGCCUGAUGCAGCCACGCCGCGUGAAUGAAGAAGGCCUUCGGGUUGUAAAGUACUUUCGGCGGAGAGGCGUUACCCGCAGAAGAAGCACCGGCUAACUACGUGCCAGCAGCCGCGGUAAUAC
rnacentral:rRNA from 1 species